rnacentral:rRNA from 1 species
AUUGAACGCUGGCGGCAGGCUUAACACAUGCAAGUCGAGCGGGGUGAUGGUGCUUGCACUAUCACUUAGCGGCGGACGGGUGAGUAAUGCUUAGGAAUCUGCCUAUUAGUGGGGGACAACAUCUCGAGAGGGAUGCUAAUACCGCAUACGUCCUACGGGAGAAAGCAGGGGAUCACUUGUGACCUUGCGCUAAUAGAUGAGCCUAAGUCGGAUUAGCUAGUUGGUGGGGUAAAGGCCUACCAAGGCGACGAUCUGUAGCGGGUCUGAGAGGAUGAUCCGCCACACUGGGACUGAGACACGGCCCAGACUCCUACGGGAGGCAGCAGUGGGGAAUAGUGGACAAUGGGGGGAACCCUGAUCCAGCCAUGCCGCGUGUGUGAAGAAGGCCUUAUGGUUGUAAAGCACUUUAAGCGAGGAGGAGGCUCUUUUGGUUAAUACCCAGAAUGAGUGGACGUUACUCGCAGAAUAAGCACCGGCUAACUCUGUGCCAGCAGCCGCCGUAA